CUGGGUACAGAUGUAGGCCCGUAGGACCCUGUCCCAGCUGCUCUGUCGCUUGUGUGGCCUGUGCGCUCUUGAGUGGACCCACCUUCGAUAGUCACUGGAGAAAAAAAAUGGAGAUCUCAUCUGAGUCCAGUGUCAGACACUUCCUGAAGGCAAGCUCUUCUCUGGCAGGGAAAAUGCACAGAACACUGGGGAUCAGCACCAUCUCCUGGGUGCAGAUGUAGGCCUGUAGGACCCUGUCCCAGCUGCUCUGCCAUUUUUUGCAGCCUGGGAUCUUGUGUUUUUGGAAAGCAAUCUAUUAAUAUCACAGCCUCUGGGACACCAAGAAAACAAAUGAACUUUAAAAACAGAUGGAGAGUAAGGACAACCAUGUCCUCUUCUAACUACUUUAAUAAUUUUUAACUUGGAAAGUAAAUUCAAUGGGUGCCAACAGGGAAAACCAUGCUAUGUUCUAAAAUGGCAAAAGUCAGAUCAGGCACUAAUGAGAAAUGCUCUGAAUGGCUUUCAGGAUCUCUAGUUAACUAAGAUCCUGGAGUGAGUUGGGCCUCUGGAAACCCCUAAACCAUUCUAUCAGGUAAAUAAAUGUGCAUACAAUUAAAUAGCUGUAAACAGAUCUCAGGGCACCUGACUGACAGCAGAUCAGAUCUGAGUUCAACUGAUUUCAAAUCCUAUUUGGUCUCUCUCACUAAUACCCAGUGAACCUGCUUGUGUGGCUAUUCCAUUCUCAUAGCUGGAUUACAACACCAGUCUUAUUUUCUCCCUCUACAGCUAGAUUGAGUAUUUAAGCUGUAACAUUUAAAGGAAAGCCCUUGAAAUCAGAUCAAUAGCUCCUGUUUAAUUUCUCUAGUGUAUGAAGCUCCUUGCCUCAGAACACCGGUCACCUCCUAAUAACCAAGAGCCCUCCCUCCCUAAAGUCGGCCUCCCUUUAGUUUUGCUGUCUUGAUGCACUGAGUGGUCUGGAAGUGCUGCUCUUCCCGUACCACAGGAAACUGCAAAAACCAGUGCCCUGUGCAGUGUUUUCUAAGUGUGGUUUUAGAACCAGUAGUGUCAACAUCACCUGAAUAAUUUUGAACAUGAAAAUUACUUGCCUUCACUGCCCCCCCCCACGAUGGUGAGCCCAAGUGUGUGUGUGAAUAAAACUCUCAAAUGAUUCUAAUUUAUGGUAAGUCAAGCAUGGCAACACAUGCAUGCAGGUCCAGACCUGGAAAGCAGGGAGGGAGUCAAGAGGUCAUUUUCACCUUCUGCUAUACAGUGAGUUCAAGGUCAGUCUAAGUCUGUGGUGGUUUGAAUGAGAAUGGUCCCCAUAGGCUCAAGCUUGAAUACUUAGUCACCAGGGAGUGGAACUGUUUGGAAGGACUGGUAGGAUUAGGAGGUGUGGCCUUGUUGGAGGAAGUGUGUCAUUGGGGGUGGACUUUGAGGUUUCAAACACCCAGAGCCUGGUAUGCUGUCAUGCUCUCUGCCAUGAUGAUAAUGAACCUCUGAAAUGAACCAAACCUCUGCAAGUCUCCAGUUAAAUGCAUUCUUUGAAAAGAGUUGUGUUGGUCAUGGUGUCUCCUCACAGCACUGAAACAGCGCCUAGGACAAGGUUAUAUGUGACUCUGUCUCAAACAAAAAGAAAAGAUGGGGAAAAGGAGAAGGAAACCUCCAGGUUUUUGCAGAAUCUCACUAUUUAUCCUUUAGGGCUCUUGCUUAGCCUUGGUUGAGCAAUUCAAUUUUCGUUAAUUAGCACCUACUAUGUGCCAGGGAUUAGCCUGUGUUCUCUGACUUGGAUUACCUCUACGCAGUCAAACUUUGUGCUGCACAGUAGCUUUUUGGGCUUUGACAGUAUAAAGAAUACAGUAUUUCAUGGGAAUGAAAAAUCUCCCAUGACCAAGAUAUUCUUUUGUAUGUCAAAUGAUAAAGACUGAUAAAGAUUUUUGCAUGACUUGUUCUUAUAGUAGCAAAUAUUGUGCCAGGCAGUGGUGGCGCAAGCCCUUAAUCCCAGCACUUGGGAGGCAGAGGCAGGUGGAUUUCUAAGUUCAAGGCCAGCCUGGUCCAUAGAGUGAGUUCCAGCACAGCCAAGGCUAUACAGAGAAACCCUGUUUCAAAAAAUCAUAUAUAUAUUUACAGGGUAGCAGACACCCUCUCCCCCCAUCCCUGAAUCAGCUGCUUGUUUCUGUAGGUCCAGAGUUCAACAACAGUUUAGCUCAGGAUCUCUGUCUUAAGGUCUUUUAUAAAACCUAAACUAAGGUAUGAUGGGAGUUCUUGACUCACUAAGUCUAAGUUCACGCAAAGAUUGCCUUCAGCACCUUAUGAGUUGUUUAUUUGGUGACUUUGGUUUCUCAUCAGAUGUGGUAGUUUGAAUAGGAAUGGACCCAUAGACUCAUGCAUUUGAAUGUUUGGUCAUAGUGAGUGGCAUUAUUAGGUGUGGCCUUAUAAGAGUAGGUAUGGCCUUGCUGGAGGAAGUGGGUCAUUGGGGGUGGACUUUGAGGUCUAAGAAGCUCAAAUUUGGCCAGUGUGUCUCAGUCUCUUUCUGCAGAUUAAGAUGUAGAACUCUCAGCUCCUUCUCCAGCAUCAUGUCUGCCUACACACCAUCAUGUCCCACCAUGGCAAAUAAUGGACUAAACCUCUAAAAAUGUAAGCUAAUCCCAAUUAAAUAUUUUCCUUUAUAAGGGUUGUCUUGGUCAUGGUGUCUCUUCACAGCAAGAAAACCUUAACUAAGACACUAGGUAUUAUCCAGAGGCUUUCUGCAGCUCUUUGCCACAUGGAACUCUCUGUCACAGAAUUCCCUCGAAGGAAGCAAGAGAGGGCAAAAAAGCUAGAAGCUGUUGUUUUAUUUACUAAUCUUGGAGAUGAUAUCCCAUCACCUUUGCUGCAGUCUUUUGUAAGUCAUACCUUGUCCCCUAUUCAAGUUUCUAACCAUCUAUAUAAACAUGUUCUCUUUGAAGAAGGCAUUUUUUUUAAUGAUCCCCAUCCAUUCCUAAUUUUAAAACAAACAACCUCCCUAAAGUAUCAAAAUGUGGCCAGUCUGUGGCCUGGCAUCUGUGGUUCUUAAAACAUCAAUGUCCCUAAGGACAUCGUCCCUUAGGAGCUGGUUAACAGUGUUUAUAUCCAACUUUUAGCCCAAGAAAGUUAGGUCCAGAAGGGGCAGUGGCGGCUAGGUGGCCUGUUCCUCUCCACUUCCUGUCUUCCCCUCUUUUGACCACAGCUGUACACAGAAGUCCCUCGGCUUCCUCAGAUCUGUGCAAGGCCACUGUGCCCACACUCCUGCACAUUGCUUUGCCCCAGAGCAUCUCUGAAUAUAAGAUGAGGUUGUAUCUGCAGGAGUCCUUGGCAUUCAUCAAGCCUGACUUGGCACACGCCUGCAUAUGCAUUACAGCUUUGUUGUACUUAGUGAAUGCCAGUAAGCCUUCCAGCCAGACGAUAUAUAGGUAUUUAGGUCCCUGGAGAGCAGAAGAUCAGGGACACCCACUGCUGACUGCCCUGCUACAGUCCCGGACCCUCAGUGUCUGUAUUCUGUGUCUGUGCUUCUCAACACCCCCUUACCCUUCUAUCCCAGCCAGCGUGGUUCCUUAGCUAUUUAUUUCUUCCGUUGGUUUAUUUGCUUAUGUGAAUUCUCAGACCUAUGCUGAGAAAUAAAACAGGAACGAUGAGUUCGUUGAAGAUGAGUAGGAUGCUUCCUACGUAUUCAAAGCGUGCCUUGGGGUUGUGUGACAGGUGGGUCUUGCUGAGACAGUAACAGGCAGAGCACAAGCAAUAGAUUUGGAGAGGUAAAACUUUGGGGGAAGAUCGUUUGUAUGCCCUGUGGUAUUUGCUAUGUAGGGGGAUACAUGUCAAAUACUGUGUUGUAAUGAUCUUCCAAUGAUAAAUACUUGUCUUCUAGAUGUUGAGACUUUAUUUUAGUAACAUUUGGCCUACCCUGUGCUAUAUGCUGCUAGCUCACCGGCCCAGGCCCACCCUCCAUCAUCUCCUAUUCAUGUAGUUUUGGAUUUGUUUAGUGUAGGCAUGUGCCCAGCGGAAAAAUGCCAGAGUGGUCUAGUUUCAACUAAGAAACUAACUGUAAGUGGAAGUUCUAGAUGAGGGCUCAAGAAAGCUCUCUAAAAGGAGUCAUGUUAAAUUGGCAACUCUGUGUUACCCUUUAUCUCUCUUCUGCCUGCAACUGAUGUAGAGUUCUGCACAUCUACCUGCCAUUGUGUGGCCAUGAAGUGACUGACAAGAAGAGCAAGUCUAUGGCAGCCUGCCCUGAGGCACAGUGGUGCCAGGCUAUCCCUGAUGUAACUGGGCUCCAGCUUCCCAAUGUGUGACAAAAAAAAAAAAUUCCCAUCAUAUUCCAUUACUAUUACUGAAUAUUUCUAGUUCACCUGCAUCAACUUAAAUCACAAAGAGAAAGGCUCUCUACAGAGCAAUGCUGGAUUGUGAGCAGUCGGGGAGCAUUGCACACGAAACAAGCGGGGCAGAAACCAUGGAAACUGUCACAGGGGGCAGGGUAAAGGGAAACGAGGCGAUGUGAGGAGUGCUGUGUAUGUCAUUUUGAAAUGAUCAUCCUUGGCCACAAGAAUUAAUAAGCAAGAUGGUGCCAGCCUAGGCUGAACAAAGACUUACUGGACAGCUGUCCUUGUAUAAGCAAUUUUUGUGCAAAAUAUAGUCAGGCAACCUUUUGUGAUAGAUCUUACUGUCAGCAUACUUUCAUGAAAUUCCCCCUUCAUAAUCUAUCAGGUAUAUUUGCUUUUCGUUAGGGCUUGAUACAGCGAGCUCCGUGUGUGUGUGUGUGUGUGUGUUGGGGGGGAGGUAUAGGAUGUGUGUGCAUGUAUGUCUGAAGACAUGCAUAUACUACAGCACACUAUAGGGGACACGGGACAGUUUCCAGUGUCAGUCCGAGCUAGCAUCUUAUGUGAGGCAGAGUCUGUCUGACGUUUGCCACUGUGCUGUGCACCUACACAAAGCUGACUGGUCCAGGAGCUUCUGGUUCGCCUGCCUUUGCCUCAAAUCCCUCAGAGGGAGUACUUUGGUUACAGAUGGUGGCUAGUGGUUUUACAUGGGACCUGAAGACUUCAACUUGGGUCCUCAUGCUUGUAACAGCAAGCGUCAUGCCCACUGAGCCAGUUCCCCACCCUGCCCAUACUGAUUCUGACAACUUCCACAUAUGAAGCAAACAUAUUUCCUAAUACAGCUCUCUCAGUUCUGUUAAGGUUUUACAAAGAUUUUCUUUUAGAUUUCCUAUCAUCAUAGUAGGUCUACUUUUUAUGAGUCAUAUAUCUGCCCUGGAUAGAUGACUCAGUGAAUGAGAGUCUUUUUAUGCCAGCAAGAGUCUGAAACUUAACACACACACACACACACACACACACACACACGCACGCACGGCUAAGUACAUAUGCAAUCCCAGCACUAUGGGGAGUGGGGAUGUCUGGGACUCGCUGGGUCAGAUUCAGUGAGAGUCUCUGUUUCAAGGGAACACAAAUAUCAAGACACAGCAGGACAGCGACGUCUUCUGGCUUCCAUGAGUGCACACCUACAUACACAUAUAUACCAUUCUCACACACAACAGAAGUCAUGGGGGGAGGGGUGGGGAAGAGGUAGCUCAGUGGGUAGUCACAUUUAUGUAAAGAAGGAAGACAGCCUCCUGUGCGCCAUGUGCUGAACUAAUUCAGUAAGAAAACUUUAUACUUCAUUACAUACAUGACCUGGUGGUUUGUCCAGCUGAGGCAAAAGUUGCUGAUGGACUCUCUGAAUGUUUUUAUCACUACCUAAAAGCAUAUCUAUAACCUUACUUGCUUAGCAUGUGUGUCCUUAUUAAAUCCCACUCCAUAAAGAAAGGAACACUGCUGUCUCAUUCAUUAUGAUAAUUGAUGCCUGCCACAUCACAGGGCAUGCAAAAUGCUGCAUCCAUGGAGAAACACAGCUCUCUGAAUUCGUCUGAGUGCAGAGACCAAAUAUGAGAAAUGGUAGUUUACCCAGCAUCACAGCUCCAUUAAUUUAUGACCUGUUGGAAAAACAUGUUUUCCCUUUUUAACAAGUUUCUAUUCAAAUGUGGAAGAAUAGUAAUGGAGGUCUCCUGGUGGCUGGCCUGAGGCCCUGUCCCCCCCCAUCCCCUGCCCCCUUCACUGUAAUACAUGAGCAGUUAGCUGGUUGUGAGUCGUUUGCUAAUGAAAUAAUCACUCCCAAGAGUAUUAGUUCUUUUUCUCAUUGCUCUGGCAACAUGCCUAUCAGAAAGCCACUUGAGAGAUGGUUUUCUUUGGCUUACAGUUGGAAGGGAUACGGUCCUCCAUGGAACUGGAGGCAACUGGUGUGAUCCCUUCCGCUGUCCAGAAGCAGAAUAAACAGAAAGGAAGAUGGGACUAUCAAACCUCAAGGCUCCCUCUAGUGACUCACUUCUUCAGUCUGGCCCCACUUAUUAGAGCUUCCACAACCCUCCUUGAACAGCACUCUCAGCUGGGGACUAUUGUGCUCAAGCACAUGAACCAGUGUCUAUGUUGGUAUUUCACAUUCAAACCUCGGGGGAAGUAACAUAUCAUGCAUAGCAUGUACUUGUCGGUGCUAAAAGUAACAGUGAAUGAAAAGGUUGAACUUGGGAGUAGGGGGAUGAAAGUGGGGGGAUGGGGAUGGGGUAUGGGAGUGGAAGGAAGUGGUGGGGGUGGCUCAGCAGCUAGGAGUACUUGCUGCUGGUGCAGAGGACAAAACAACAACAACAACAACAACAACAACAACAACAACCACCUAGACCAAACUGGUAGACUGUCACAUGUACCUAUAAUCCUAGCACCUGGGAGGUUGAGGCAGAAAGAUCAUGCGCUCGCAGCUAGCUGCACAGCAAGACUGCAAAGGAGUUAAGGGUGAGGGUAGCCACUCAUAUUCAACAUUUCAGAAAAGAGAAUGGAAGGAAAUUCAAGUGUGAUAAGGAAGAGCUAAGCACAGAUGUUAAAAAAUAUAUUAAAUUCUGUUUUUCCUUUCCCAGCCCCAGCUCCUGGAACAACAACUAUGAGACUAGUUAGUCAUUAUUAAAUGCCUAGGCCACAAACUUUGGCUCAUCCCUGACUAGCUCUUCAUGUUUUUAACCAUUUAAUCUACUCUAUGUUUACCACUUGGUUAGUGACCUCUCCUUCAGUCCCAGCUGCUGCUUCUUCUCCUCAGCGGCUCCCUCUGCGUCUCUCCAGGUUCCUCUCCCUCCUGGUUUUCAUCCAUCUCUCCUCUGUCUCUGUCUCAAUCUUUUCCUCUGUGGGAAAUGUGUGACCUUAGAGAACAUAAGGCGACCACUGAAAGACCUUGCUAGAAUAGCAUGCUGGGGACCUUCCGCUAGAAGUUUGUGGAGAACCCUCCCUUCCCAGAAUGACCCAGCAAAACAAGCUUUACAAAAGCCCCUGAAAGGCAGGUGCAGAUAAUGACCUAGAAUGUCUCACUUCCCUCUUCUGGGGACGAAGACCUCACCUCACCCAGGGCCAUCAAUGCUGCCUAGGGAAGGUCAUGAAAAGACACUUGCCUCUCUGUAAGGGAGAGUCUAAUUACCAUUUCUAAAGGGUGGAAAGAGAAGGUCAGCUCAGGCCAACAAUGGGCUUAAACCAACUCAAGUUGUUAUCAAGGCCUGCCCUUAAACUGUAUAAAAAGUGUGUGCUUGGGUUGCCUGUGCCUCAAUCGAGGCAGGACAGCCCCUGGCACACCAGAUCAAUAAACUUCUUGAUUAUUUCAUCAGUCUCCGUUUCUGUGAGUGGGACACCCUGGACAUAAGGCUCGUUGGGUCUUACACCUCCAUGGCUCUCUUUGAGCUCUUAUUAUUUCCCAGUCUUCUCUUUCUUUCUGCUAAUGUUCCACCUCCUAUUCCCUGCCACAGCUCAAUGGCCAUUGGCAUUUUAUUGACAGGUGAUGCUUCUAAGAGAUUCUUUCUAUACCCAGAGUGUGGUAUUACACUCAGUCUUCACAAGUUUCAUUCUACAGAUGUCAACACUGAGUACCAGUCGGGUAGGUGGGUUUAUCUCAGUGUUUUCCCAGCAACUAGGUUCUGAGACUAUGUAUAUCUCAUUCUAAAGUCUGUACCCUUCUACAUAGUUUACUAAUUACUUGUAAUCAAGAACUUGAUAAAUAUAGAUUAUUAUAUUGCCUACAUCUUUCAUUUAAUUGGUAUCAUCAGUCUUAGAACUAUUCUAAUAUUUAUAGCAAUUAAGAAUGUUCUUGCCGCCCUUAUAACAAAUCCAUAAUUUUCCUCACAGCUAGCUGCUCUUGGCUAGACCCUGUUGGAAGUUAGAACAUGAAGAGCUAAAAGGCAAGAUAUUUGAAGUUUUCCACCAGAGUUGGCAAGAUGGCUUAUUGGGUUAAGGUGCCUGCUGCCAGGCCUGAGAGAGAGAACUGACUCCCACAAAUUAUGCUCUGACCUCCGUGUGGGCACCGAGGCUCAUGGAUGUGCAUACUAUUGCUAUUUUAAAAGAGAAUAUUUGCUUACUCAUGUAUCAAUUCUACAACUUCUUCUGGUACCCUUUUGCUGAUGGUAGACAGAAAAAAAAGAGGUGCAUAAACUCAGAAAGGCCACCGCUUGAAGUGGGACAUCACACAUCACCAGAUAAGCUUGGUCCGAGGUUGCUUAUUAUCUUGUGUAUUGGUUGGUACACCCUCCAUUGUCCUUGCUUUGAAACAACUAUGUCAAAAACACCUCUCCAUUUCUGUAGACUGGGCUGUCUGGCGUGUCUUUUUCAAGGGAGUCUUCUGUGGAUCAUUAAUAUGCAAAGCAGAUAAGAGAUUUAAAAAGAAAAGCUACUGCUGGCUGCAGUGGGAGUCGGUAGGCAGUCAACUUCGGCAGUCAGCUUCGCCCCAGUCUGAGAGACUCCGAGAGGUUGGACCCUCCUUAAGGCCUUCUACAGAAUUGAUGAGUAAGACGGUCCCUAAGGUCCCCGCCAAGUCUAAAAUUACGGAACCAAUGACUCUGUUGGGUAUAUGCUGGUUUUGGUAUUGCUGUGGAAACCAGGCAUCUCCAACAAGGGGGAAAUAGCAGUAACUGCCUUUCUCUGGGAACAUCUGGUCUGGAAAUGAGAACAUCUCAGCUCUGGUCCCUGCUCGGCCACUAUUUAAGUCUAUUACCUUAGCUGCUGUUUCCCCAUCUACGAAACGCUCAUAAACCAUUCCCUGCCUGCUUUAUUUUUAAAUGUAUCUGUUAGCGAAGUUUUAAAUUCCCUUCAACAAAAAUUAAACUAGUAUACAGUCUUAAAGUCUUGCCUUCGGGGAUGUGCGGAGGUUGAUUCUUCACUCUGAAGUUGGAGCUAUAUAGUUACUACCUCUGUUGAAACUGGUGGUAAAACCCAAAGCGUGGCGCACGGGCCCCAUGGGUGCCUGGGGACGAGCCAGAGUCCGUUACCAGAUGAAUCGCUACAGUUCUCAUCAGGAGAAAGUGGGAAGUGUCCUUUGGUUAAGACAGGCAAAAACAAUCGUGGUUUUCUGGAUUUUUGUUUCAUUUUUGCAGAGCUGAUACUAGUUGGGUUUUUAUUUUUAUUUUUUGUCAAAAUUCUAUACGAUCCCUAUUACCACAAACAAACAGAUUUCUACCGUUCAGGCCUGUGACAAAUGACAGUUGUUGAACAUCUGACAAGAUAUUCUGUAUUUCUAAGACCUGGAGAGAAAGAUGAGCAGAUAGGUAAGUGGUGAGACAAGGAAAGUGAGGAAGAGGUGGCCAGCGGGCAGCUCUGAGACAGCCUGGGCAAAGCCAUUGCACAUGGGGACACUUUCAGAGGACACUAGCCGCAGCACUUCAUAAGCCAUGCUGAGUGAGGAGCUGAGGGGAGCAGACCAAGUCUGAGUGGGCAGGUGUCUCGAUUUCAGCUUCAGCCACCCUAGGUAUACCACCUAGCAGGGAGACUUCCUCUUCCCACUUUACAACAAAAUAACUACUCUGGUGUUUAACAAGGGAAAGGACAUGGAUGUGAGAUUGUAAGAAUGGUCAACUUGAGAUAAAGAUUCCUUUCCUCAGAAAGCUAUUCAUUUCGAAUUUUCAGAAGAUAUUAUGAAACACUAGGAAUCAAGGUUAUACCUAAGAUAUUUAAUCCCUGGGGGAUUUAACUGUCUCUGUGGACCCAACAAAAAUAAUUCUCGACUCUCUCCUGUUUGUGCUUCAUCUCCCCCCUGGAUGCCCUGUCACCAUACCCAGCACUGUCCAUAAAUCAGGAUCCCAUGAUUGCCUUGUCCCACUUCGUCUGAGGCUCCCUCUUAACCAAGAGGCCAAGAGAACCCCACAACAGCACUUGGAGUUCUACACGCAGCCCAGAUAUCUCUCCACUUGGGUAACAGAACUAUCAGGAUUGGAAAGAAUAUUACAGAUGACCUGGCAAUCCAUCUGCCCUACAAAUAAAGAACUUGAUUCCUAAAGAGGAAAAUACGUUUCCUCAGGGUUGUGAGAAGGGUAGUUUGACGAUGCUGUGGGUACCAGCUCUGUUGCUAUGCUGAAGGUAAGAAAUGCAUUAAGAUGUCAUUGUUAUGUUUUUGCUUUUUACUGUAUUAAAAUAUCAUCAUUUUGUGUCGAUUGAUUUCAGACCGAGCUCCUAAAAGUAGCCACGGAGCCUGGGAGAAUGUGUCUUUGAAUGAAAGGAGAUGCCGAUUUCUGUUGGGUUUCGCUCUCCCACAACUCAGAAACUUGAAUUGACAACGUGUUAUUGGCUAAGAAAGGAGCUGUGUCGAGCACUCCGUCUCCUUCCUUCUGGAUGAAAGAGAUCUGGCAUCCUGGAAGUCUCCAGUGCACAGCUUCGGCCUGUGUGGUUUGGAGAGUUGGGAAGUUUAUCCGUCCAUCCUGCUGCUUGGAUGCCAGCCACGCAGGAGUCUCUCAUACAACCUUUCUGAGUUUUUCUUUUUACCCAUUUCUCAUCUCAAAUAACAAAUUCCUAAAGGCAUAAUUUCAAAGAAGUUGCUCAUCAGUUUAGGGGACCUGGGCCAACCUUCCCAACCUUCCCUUGUGCCCAUUCAUUCAUUCAUUCAUUCAGAAUGCAUAUGUUGUGUGUCCAUAUGCUGCAUAUUAAUAAUAGCUCCUUUCUUCAGUAAGUUGGGGCUAGCUCAUUCCUGCGCAGCAAAGCUUCAUGGUUAAUUCUUGUUAUUCUUACUCUGUAGUGAGAAAACUGGAGCUCCCAGAAGAUGCCUAUCAUAGCACAAGUAGACAGGAACCUGGGAACAUGCAUGAGACUGCAACUCCCAGCUACUCUGACAAUCAAAGCCCUGCGUUACCUUCCUGCACCUGUCACAUGGAAGCAUGAUGAGAGGAUGAAGCGGACAGGGUAUCCCUGUGUGGUCUGGGCAGUAUUAAAAGGCUCUUCAGACCAGACUGGCUUGAAUUUGGAGAUUUGUCUGCUUCUAUAUGGAAUUACAGACAUGAACCACCACCACCCUGGAAUUGACUUCUUAAGUCAAGUACUGAUCCUGGUCUAUUAUCCCUCGGCUCUAGCAUGGGACCUACUAGAAAGGGUCGAAGUUGGGCUGGGCUGCUUUGUCCUCAAUACACCAAUUAGAGAGAUGCAUUUGAGGUGGCCACAUUGGGACGAGGAAGGAAGAGAGGUCCGGUGACUUCAGAGCCCUUAGGAAUGAUUGCCUCAUGUUGGGGGUAAGAAGAAGUUAACAUCUAGGGAGGAGAAGAGAAAAAGCCAGCACUGGUCGGUAAGUCCUGUGCUGAGAACCCCCGUGAGAGUGCUCUUGAUUGUC